rnacentral:lncRNA from 1 species
GAGUAAAGACAUAAAUGGAUCUGGAGACCAAAACGAAGCUGCAAUUCAGUAUCCUUUAUAUUUAUCAUUUCACAAUAACAUGAUAGCAUGGGGUAUAAUGCUUCAAGUGCAUUACUAGAUGUCUGAAAUUAGCAGUUCUAAAGUUAUUAUGUCACUAACCUUGUGUCGUUUUACUAUUUGCUUAAGUGCAUGCAAUUUAACUUGAGAAUAAAUAGUGGAACAUAU